CGCAGCUUGCGCUCCUCGGUAUUCCGAGGAGCAUGCCUUUUUGAGUGUCGUUAAUCUUCUCCAAACUAUAUUUUUUUGCAAAAAAAGAUGUAGCGCGGGUCCUUGGGCUUGCUUGAUGAAAAUCAAGCUUGCCUUAAAUAUAUGAGCUGAAGAUCAGUCGGGUUGCUAAGGCAAUUAUUAACCCGCGUAAACGGUCUUUGCUUUCUUUUAACUAAAACACUACUGGCCUCAAAUAAGGUAGGACUACCCGCUGAACUUAA
rnacentral:misc_RNA from 1 species